rnacentral:rRNA from 1 species
UAAUACAGAGGGUGCGAGCGUUGUCCGGAAUCACUGGGCGUAAAGGGCGCGUAGGCGGCUUGAUAAGCGUGCGGUGAAAGCUCGGGGCUCAACCCCGAGUCGGCCGUGCGAACUGUCGAGCUUGAGCACAGUAGAGGCAGAUGGAAUUCCGGGUGUAGCGGUGGAAUGCGUAGAGAUCCGGAAGAACACCGGUGGCGAAGGCGGUCUGCUGGGCUGUGGCUGACGCUGAUGCGCGACAGCGUGGGGAGCAAACAGGAUUAGAUACCCUGGUAGUCCACGCCGUAAACGAUGGGCACUAGAUGCUUGGGGGAGCGACCCCCUGAGUGUCGGCGCUAACGCAUUAAGUGCCCCGCCUGGGGAGUACGGCCGCAAGGCUG